rnacentral:rRNA from 1 species
CGUUGACAACGGCUCACAUAACGUGUCGC